CUUUUGUUGCGAAAAGGGCUUGGAGAAUUGAGCAAGUCCCUGUGCUAGGCUGUUUUAUUAAAACCUCUCUUUUACACACUUGCCUAUACUAUGAUAAUACAAUAAUUUCUAUUCUAAGUAGAUUUCUAUUUUGAGAGUUAUUAAAGUGCUGUAUGUAAGUAUAGAAUUCGCCCGAUAAGCCCGUUCUCUAAGGUGGAAACACUGUAUUAAAACAGUAUACACCAAAACUCAAUGAACUAAAAGAUUUUAUUAAUUGAAGGAAAAGAAACCAACCGGGAUUGCGCUAGUAGUACAGAGCGAAAGUGCAUAAGCUUGAUUAAAUAUUUUUUGUUUACGGUUGAACUUAAGUGGAAUCCGGACCAGAGAAAGUUAUAGUCUUGUAGAUUGUAAACAAAAAAGUGCUGUAACCUUUGCCCUUGCCUAUGGCUUCGGACAAAGGUUAUUUAUGAGCAUGAACUAUUUAUUUUUUGGCAUAAUCCAGAAAAGUAAUAAAUGGGAAGAUCAAUCAAAUUAGUGGUUUAACACUGCUAGUAAUUGACGGAAACCACUCCGUUGGCUAAAUAUUCUAUGUAGAUCGAUAGUGAAUCAGUACUGUAAAGGAAUUUGGAAACAAGAAUGCCGUUGCUUCUCUGAAUACAAGUCCCAAAACAGGUUGCUUAUAAUGACUUUCAGUUUGGCAGUUAUAAUGUUGAAUAGAAAGGUUCCUUUUGAAUCAUGAGCUGAUGACUUUGUGUUAGUUUAAGGCAUACAUUAAUUGUUCCCUUUGGUUUAAUCAAAAAAAGUAAAAUUAAUGUGAGUAGCUUAAUUUAUUAAAAGUAAGCUUAUUAUGAAAGUAAAGUAUUCAUAGAAAACUAACACAAGACGCGAAACGAAGUGAGCUUAAGUAGGCCAGGGGGAAGGUUACCGGAAGGUAGUUGGACGCCCGAAGUGGUAUGCGUUGCAACGCGUUCAUAUGAGUUUAUUUAAGUGGCGAAAUACCAAUCGAACUUCGAAAUAUCUCGUUUUUUGCGAAACCUUUUUAGGAAGGGGGCCUGCAAAAUAAAUGCUAACUAGGUAGAGCGCUGUAAAACUGAUGGGAAGGAAACUUUUACUGAGGUGUUGCAAACCACAAAUUAGGGGCAUUUUAUCAGGUACUCAGUCAGUGCGGGACAAGCUGCAUUUGACAAGAAGGAAACAGCCUAGACUAUGAAUUAAGGCCCGAAAAUAGCGCUAAGUGAGAAAGUAAUUAACUUCACAAAAAUUAGUAGGACGUUUGAUUAGUAGCAUCUACCGUUUCAAGAAAGCGUAAUAGCUCACUACUAUAGUUUAGUUGUUGCGAAAAUUUAGCCGGACUAAGCGCUAUGCCGAAAUUAUAGCUAGCUGGCUGCUAUAAAAGCCAGUUAGAGUAGCAAAACGAACCAUGUUGACAAAGUUAUGUCGGUAAGACUUAAUGAAAAUAUUGGUUGUGAAUAUAUCAGCUAGAGUAACAUAUAAAUUGAGAUUUUAAAAUAAAUUAUAGCUUUUUAAUCUUGGUUUAACCCUUGUAUUUAUAUAAAUAUAAAAAGUUUAUUUAUUAAAAGAAUAGUAUCUCAAUGAUCGGAAAUCCUGGGUUUUCUACACAACUAUUAAAGAUGUAGUUAAAAAUACGGUCCCUAAGUAAUAUAAAGGUUACGAUGGGUACCUGCUAUGCCCAAUAAAAUCUUAUUUGUAGAUCUGUUGCAGGAAAAAAUAGCAGGCAAUUUAUACAACAAUAGAUUUGUUUUUGCGUGUACAAAUGAGUAAUACCGUACUAAAACUGACUCUGGUGGAUUAGUAGAUUUUACUAAGAUUUGGUUAUAAUCGUUCGUAAGGAACUCGGCAAAUUGCGCUGGUACUUUCGAAAACAGCGGUCUAAAAGUUAUGUUUUAGAUCUCAGAUAAGAGAACUGGGUGACAGUUUACUAAAAACUUAGCGUCCUGCCAAUUUGAAACAAGACGUAUAGGAUGUGACGUUUGCUAACGGCCACUAAUUUAAGUAAUCUGUUGUAAAAGGUAGAUAAACAAGAUGUGGUGACGAGCGGCCGUGUGCGAGUCGUUUAAAGGGAAACAAAACAUUUAUGUUUUGGAGCCUUUAGGCAGGGGUUAAAAACUCCGCUAACUGUAAUAACUUGUUGGUGAAAAACCAAACAUCACAGGAACUGAUGAAAAGCGUAGCCCGCAUGCCUUUUGAGGUGUGAAGCCGGGUUAAACGGGAUGAAGGAAACGACGAAUCCCUAGCAAGGGAGUAUAUGAUUAACAGACGUGAAUCUGUGGUUAAAGCAUGGUGACUCCAGGCAUACUGUACGGCCGAGUAUGUUGUUCUUUGGGCAAGGUCAUCGUGUAUAGCAGGAAUCUAAGUACUCAUAGUAAGUUAUUACGGAACGACGAAACCCCGCAAAUGCGGGAUUGGGACGGCGUAAAAAGCCAAUGCCGAACUUUGUUUUGUUUUUUAAACAAAGCACUAAAUAAUAAAGCUACGUUGGUUUAUUUAUUAUUUUGGAAUUAACAAGUUUUGCUUCUAAGUCUGACUUAAAAGCUGCGCUGAAAAGGUGCAAGGGAGUAAUACCCCGGAUAUGCUAACGUACGCCGCGUGGAAUGGAAAAAAAGGAAAUUAAAAAAAAAAACAGUAAUUAAAUUAUGACUAAAAUAAGUUUAAAACAAAAAACACAUGUUUACCAUGACACUACAAUGCUUGGCCAUUAUUUGGCCGGGCUUUGGGAGGGCGACGGUAAUAUAAAUAUAAAAGAUAAGAAUUACCCAAAACCCACAAUUCACAUAACAUUGCAUAAGCAGCAAGAGCCUUACGUUAAAAAAUUAUUGGCUUUAUUAAGCCACUUAUGCGAGGAUCCUGUGGGCAGCGUUCAUAUACGAGAUGACAAUAAUUCGUGUGUGCUUAAUAUUCAUACACCACAAGGAUUAAAGUUUGUUGUGGGUUUAAUUAAAGAUAAACUAAAAACGCCAAAAGCCUUUCAUUUGAAUCGUGUUAUUGACUGGUUAAACAGUUAUGAUCCGAGUUUUAAUUUUAGUCAUGUUAAUAGCAUAAGUGAUUUCAACCUAAGUACGCCCUGGUUCGCAGGGUUUUGUGAUGCAAUGCAAGCUUUGGUAUUGAUUUAAGUUUUAAAACGCGCUUAAAAGCGUCUUGCCAGUUUCAAAUUAACCAACGCAUGAGUGACCCACGGACCGGGCUAAGCUACCAUAAACUGUUUUGCUCAAUUGCUGAUGCGCUAAAAGUAAACAUAUGUACUAUUACCGAAAAAAGAAGCGGGCGUCUCUAUUAUGCGAUUAAAGCCACAAGCCGUAAGUCAAAAGAUAUUUUACGCAGUUAUUUUGACUCAUACCCGUUAUUAACAUCAAAGUUUUUAGACUAUAAAUCUUGGUGCAACGUUGACAAUCUGUUAAAAAAAAAAAACCUCCCUAAAUAUUUACAGCAAAUUCAGUUUUUAAAACAAGGUAUGAAUAACAGUCGGCGCAGCUUUACUUGGAAUCACUUACGCCAUAUAUAAUCUUUUUUUUUUUCACGAGGAGCCGUAUGAUGGGAAACUAUCACGUACGGUUUUGAAUAAGCAGUUUUGGGGAGGCCCAACGCUGACUUUAACAACUAUAACGGUCAUAAAGUAGCGAAAUUCCUAGGCAUUUAAUUGGUGUCCUGCAUGAAUAACGUAACAACCUGGUUGCUGUCUCGCGAGCGAAAACCGUGAAAUAAGAAUAUCGGUUAAAAUACCGAUUAGGCUGUCUUAGACGAUAAGACCCUGUGAAGCUUUACUGUAACCUAGCAUUGCGAUCGGUUUUUUAUCUUACAGUUAGGCGGGAGGCAAUGCCAACAAUGGAAAACCGCUAGAUAAUAAAUUGGUCGCUUUUAUACAAGAGUACUUUUUAAUCUAUAAGAUAUUUAUAUAAGGGGCAUUAUAUAAAAAAUUUUAUGCAAAUAGAAUAAACUUUAUGUAAAUAAACCUCUAUAUAAAAUACUUUAAUUAACAAGGCUCGAAGACAGUGUUAGGUGGGCAGUUUACUUGGGGCGAGGUCUGGCUAAAAAGUAACGCCAGAGAGCAAAAGGUAUGCUCAGUAUUGUCGGAAACAAUAUGUAGAGCGUAAUAGUAUAAGCAUGCCUGAUUAUGAGACUGACAAGUCAAAUAAGGACGAAAGUCUGCUAUAGUGACCCUCACAUGCUAGGUGGAAAGGUGUGAGAUCAACGAAUCAAAGUUACUCCAGGGAUAAGGCUUAAAAAAGCGACAAGUAAGCAUCUACGUAAUGCGUAAGCUAUGAUAGAGUUCAUCAUACCUCAUAGACCACAACAGAGCCAGCACCUUGUGCCGUUGCUGUUGAAGACUUGGUUUUUUUGGGGCUAGCCUAUGGUAAGCGAGAGCGAAUUGGUGUUUGAGGCUUGUAAACAAAAAGUGGUCUUGCUUAUCCGAAGAUUACGAACUCUUAUAGAUUGUUUAGAAGUAGAGCCAGUACCUAAGGGUGAAAUGGUGCGUAGUGUUGAACUUGGUAAGCCUUAUAGGUUCUAAAUAAUAUGUGUUAUUUAGAGGGCCGUUCGCAAGAUGGGCUAUCACCUAGAAGGUAGAAGAGAAAGCAAAAAGCGAAUGCAGUGCUGUAAUGGUGCUGAUAAAUACAAUUGUAUUGACCUGAAAGGGUGCUGACUUGCUUUUGGUGUAAAAAAUAAAUAUUAAAAUAAUAGUUUAAAAAUGAAAAGUAUUACUUAUAAUCUAGUGCUAAAUAAGCACAUAAAGCCAAUGAAUUCAGAGCAGCUUGGCUAUUUUUUAGCUGGGCUAAUCGAUGCCGACGGACAUAUUGCUGUAACCGGGCAAAGUAUAACAAUAAACACUCACAGCAGGGAUUUAUGUGUUGCUUACUACAUUAAGCAAGCUGUCAGCGGAAAUAUAUAUAAGUAUAAAAAGGUCAACGCUUGUAGAUAUACUUGCACAAAAAACCGCGGUUUAGCUGGUUUAUCAAAGUUAAUAUUAAACAAGCUAAGAUUACCUCAAAAAAUAAAUCAGUUUAAUAGCCGACUAGCGUCCCGUCUAAAUUUAAAACUUUGUACACCCAGUGUUACAGGUAUAGAACAAAACCAUUGGUUAGCCGGCUUUGUACAAGGGGAUGGAAGUUUUCAAAUAAAAAUAAGAAUGCCCCGUAAACCCGGAUGGAGUAAUCAAGUUGAAAUAGUACCCCUUGCCUUUGGCUUCGGGCAAAGGUUCAGAUUGAAUUAAAACAUGAAGGCCUGCUUAGGCAAAUUAAAGAAACUUUUGGUGGUAGCGUGGGGUAUCGUAAAAGUAGAAAUACCUACUAUUAUAGUAGCGUUAAUUUACAAAAUGCUACUAAACUUGUGAAGUAUUUUAAUAAAUACCAAGUAAUGGGACCUAGCUACAGGUUAUUUUUAUGUUGGAGAAGAGCUUUAGAUAUAGUGCUAGCUAAACAACACCUUACUUCUGCCGGAUUUGACGAAAUCAAAUGUUUAAAAGCAUACAUGGCUGAAUUAAGGCAGAGGAAUUGAUAUAUUUUUAUUUUCUUUAUUUUUUAUGCUUGAGCCGUAUGCGCUGAAAGGUGCACGUACGGUUCUUAGGGGAAAAAACGUUUGUGAAAACCAAUUUCCCCAGUCAGGGUAGUCCUGGCUUAUAGUUCUUAUAGACGCCAGGGUUCGCCACCUUAAUUAACAUUGGGGCUCUUAUCUAGGAAACUAGGUUAGGGAUGCAUUUGGCUAUAUGCUGGAACCCCCGUUUGCAUUAAAUUUAACAAAGAACAUUAUCUUUAAUAGCAAUGUAAAUAUUACGUGGCUUGCUUGUUUUAUAUUUAUAAAAAGCUUGUUGACACAUGUGAUUGCGGGCAAUCAGCAGGGAAGUUCAAAGCAACUUAUAUUUUUAUGUUAUGUUGCAUAACCCCUCAACGACCACACGCCGAACACCCUUAUAAAGGGUGAUGAUAUGGUCUACUCUUACAAGAAAUUGUAAGUCAAUUCAAAUUGUAAAUAAAUUGAAUUGAUAUACACAACUAAACUACAUAAAAAACAAAUUUUUUCUUUAUACAUUAUGAUACAAAAAAAUAACUUAUCAACAUUACCUUUAUUUUUUCAAAGGCAAAGCGCCAACUGGCAAAAAAAAGCCGACGUUUGGGUUCAUAAAGAUGAACCCAGAAAGCUAUACGGUAAAAAUCUUGUAGCUUACAAAAAAACGCUCAAACUAACGGCACAGCAAAACAAGAUUUUAGUUGGCAGUUUACUAGGCGAUGGAUAUAUUGACUUCCAUAGGUCUGCAAAACAACCUAGUUACUACUUUUGUUUUGCUCAAACUUGGCAUGCCGCAGAUUAUGUUGAUCAUAUUUAUCAAAUAUUUAAACCGUUUGUAGGUACUCCGCCUAAAAUAAAUAAAAUUGGCGGCAUAAAGUCAGAUUUGCCAAAGCGUUAUGAAGUUCGUUUUAAAACUUAUGCUCACGAAGAGUUUAAGUAUUACUACGAUUUAUUUUAUCCUGAAGUAGAUGGUCAAAGAAAAAAGCGCGUCCCACAAAAUAUAAAAAGUAUACUAACAGCUGAGGGUUUGGCUUACUGGUAUAUGGAUGAUGGGACAACACGGACGUAUAUAACAGGGAAAAAAUCUUAUGUUAUUUCAACUCAAGGUUUUUGUUAUGAAGAUCAGGUUAUAUUAAUUGAUGCUUUAAAAGAAUCAUUUGGUCUUGAUUGCGGUGUGCAUAAAGAUAAAACCUACUUUAGGGUUAGGUUUUAGAGCAUCAUCUAAUGCGCUGUUUUUAAGCUUAAUAAAACCAUAUAUACAUCCAUAUUUUGAUUAUAAACUUUAAGUAAUAUAAUAAAAAACACAAUAAUGCCAAUUGUAGUGUGUAUAAUAAUACACAGACGAUGUUGCCUCAGGUCAUCCUAGAGCUGCACAAGGUUCUAAGGGCGCAACUGUUCUUUGCAUAAUGACCUACGUGAGGUGAGUUUAAACCGCCGUAAGGCAGGUUUGGUUCUAUCUAGACAGCCAUAAUAUUUAACCAAGCACUAGAAUUCCACUGUACGAAAGGACCCGGGAUUCCGCGCCAAUGGUUUAGCAAUUGUUUUGAAAAAAGCACUGUUGCAACGCUAAGCGCGAAAUGUUAAUUGCUGAAAAACUAUCAAGCAAGAAACAAUUGUAAAGGUUAUAGUAGAUCGCAUUUGCGUAAAUAGGCGCGGGGUGUACACUUUGUAAGAAGCUCAGCUACCGCGUACUAAUUUUUUCGAUGUUGCCUCAGGUCAUCCUAGAGCUGCACAAGGUUCUAAGGGCGCAACUGUUCUUUGCAUAAUGACCUACGUGAGGUGAGUUUAAACCGCCGUAAGGCAGGUUUGGUUCUAUCUAGACAGCCAUAAUAUUUAACCAAGCACUAGAAUUCCACUGUACGAAAGGACCCGGGAUUCCGCGCCAAUGGUUUAGCAAUUGUUUUGAAAAAAGCACUGUUGCAACGCUAAGCGCGAAAUGUUAAUUGCUGAAAAACUAUCAAGCAAGAAACAAUUGUAAAGGUUAUAGUAGAUCGCAUUUGCGUAAAUAGGCGCGGGGUGUACACUUUGUAAGAAGCUCAGCUACCGCGUACUAAUUUUUU
rnacentral:rRNA from 1 species